rnacentral:tRNA from 1 species
GCGGGUGUGGCGGAACUGGCAGACGCGCUAGACUUAGGAUCUAGUGGUAAUCCGUGGGGGUUCGAGUCCCUUCACCCGCACCA